rnacentral:rRNA from 1 species
GACGAACGCUGGCGGCGUGCUUAACACAUGCAAGUCGAACGGAAAGGCCCUGCUUGCAGGGUGUUCGAGUGGCGAACGGGUGAGUAACACGUGGGUGAUCUGCCCCUUACUCUGGGAUAAGCCUGGGAAACUGGGUCUAAUACUGGAUAGGACCGUGCUGUAGGUGUUGUGGUGGAAAGAUUAGUUUCGGUAAGGGAUGAGCUCGCGGCCUAUCAGCUUGUUGGUGGGGUAAUGGCCUACCAAGGCGUCGACGGGUAGCCGGCCUGAGAGGGGGGACGGCCACAUUGGGACUGAGAGACGGCCCAGAAUCCUACGGGAGGCAGCAGUGGGGAAUAUUGCACAAUGGGCGCAAGCCUGAUGCAGCGACGCCGCGGGGGGGAUGACGGCCUUCGGGUUGUAAACUCCUUUCAGCCAUGACGAAGCCCUUGUGGUGACGGUAGUGGUAGAAGAAGCACCGGCUAACUACGUG